UUACGGCCAUAUUACGUCGAAACACCGAUUCUCAUGCGAUCACCGAAGUUAAGCAACGUCGAGCCCGGAUGGGUGACCGCUUGCGAACACCAGGUACUACA